ACCGGUUAACAUGAGAGAUCAUGGCCGCCUUCGGGCUUCUCAGCUAUGAACAGAGACCGCUGAAACGCCCCCGGCUCGGGCCGCCCGACGUCUAUCCGCAGGACCCCAAGCAGAAAGAGGAUGAACUUACUGCUGUGAAUGUAAAGCAAGGCUUCAACAAUCAGCCGGCAUUUACUGGAGAUGAACAUGGCUCAGCCAGAAAUAUUGUAAUUAACCCAUCAAAGAUUGGAGCAUAUUUUAGCAGCAUAUUAGCUGAGAAAUUAAAGCUUAAUACUUUCCAGGACACCGGAAAGAAGAAACCACAAGUUAAUGCUAAAGAUAAUUAUUGGCUGGUUACUGCUCGAUCCCAGAGUGCGAUUCAUAGCUGGUUCUCUGACUUAGCAGGAAAUAAACCACUUGCAAUUUUGGCCAAAAAGGAGCUGCCUCUGGCCAAGUCAGGUGUUCCUCAGGUUCCCAUCCUUAGUAAAAAAGAAGAUGUUUUUGCAUAUUUAGCUAAAUAUUCCGUGCCAAUGGUUCGAGCAACGUGGCUGAUCAAGAUGACUUGUGCCUAUUACUCUGCUAUUUCUGAAGCUAAAAUUAAGAAACGUCAGGCUACUGAUCCCAAUUUAGAGUGGACACAAAUAUCUACCAGAUAUCUCCGAGAGCAGUUGGCCAAGAUUUCCGACUUCUACCACGUGGCUUCCAGCACGGGCGAUGGCCCUGUCCCGCUGCCACCGGAUGUGGAGCAGGCCAUGAAGCAGUGGGAGUACAAUGAAAAGCUGGCAUUUCACAUGUUCCAGGAAGGAAUGCUAGAAAAACAUGAAUAUUUGACAUGGAUCUUGGAUGUUUUAGAAAAGAUCAGACCAAUGGAUGAUGAUCUUCUUAAACUCUUGUUACCAUUGAUGCUGCAGUAUUCAGAUGAGUUCGUUCAGUCAGCUUACCUGUCUCGUCGUCUUGCCUACUUUUGUGCCCGGCGUCUUGCCUUGCUGCUGAGUGACAGCCCCAGCCUCUUUGCUGCUCACUCGCCACACAUGAUCAUAGGACCAAACAACUCGAGCAUCGGGGCCCCCAGCCCUGGCGCCCCCGGCCCCGGCAUGAGCCCCGGGCAGCUGGCCUUCUCAGACUUCCUUUCCUGUGCACAACAUGGCCCCCUGGUUUAUGGACUUAGUUGUAUGUUGCAGACUGUCACUCUGUGUUGCCCAAGUGCCUUGGUGUGGAAUUAUUCCACAAAUGACAAUAAAAGCUCAAACCCAGGCUCGCCCCUGGAUCUGCUGCAGGUGGCCCCCUCCAGCCUCCCCAUGCCCGGUGGGAACACGGCUUUCAAUCAGCAGGUUCGGGCAAGGAUUUUUGAGGUAGAACAGCAGAUAAAACAAAGAGGCCGUGCAGUGGAAGUUCGGUGGUCUUUUGACAAGUGCCAAGAAUCAACAGCAGGUACAGAACACGGCAGCAAGAGUGCUUGUGUGACAAUUAGUCGGGUUUUGCACACGUUGGAAGUGUUGGAUCGACACUGUUUUGACCGAACUGACUCCAGCAAUUCAAUGGAAACACUUUAUCAUAAGAUUUUCUGGGCUAACCAAAACAAAGAAAACCAAGAGGCGGCCCCCAACGAUGAAGCUGUGGUGACACUGCUGUGUGAAUGGGCUGUGAGCUGUAAACGGUCAGGCAAGCACAGGGCGAUGGCUGUAGCAAAACUCUUGGAGAAGAGGCAAGCGGAAAUUGAGGCAGAGAGAUGUGGUGAAUCAGAGGUCUUAGAUGAGAAAGAGUCCAUUUCUUCAGCUUCUCUUGCUGGAUCUAGUUUGCCUGUUUUCCAGAAUGUUCUGCUAAGGUUUUUAGAUACACAGGCUCCCUCAUUGUCGGAUCCAAACAGUGAAUGUGAAAAGGUAGAAUUUGUGAAUCUGGUGCUGCUGUUCUGUGAGUUCAUCCGACAUGAUGUCUUCUCUCAUGAUGCAUAUAUGUGCACCCUCAUAUCUCGAGGAGACUUGUCAGUCACCGCCUCGACACGGCCACGGUCGCCAGCAGGAGAAAAUGCAGAUGAACACUAUCCAAAGGACCUUGAUGGGAAGAUGGAGGAACAAAAUAUGGCACAUACGGGCAUUGACUCAGGAACUACUAAUAUUUUUGAUGAAGUAGACAAGAGUGACUUUAAAACUGACUUUGGUUCGGAAUUUCCAAUUUUUUCUCCCAUGACUGGAGAAUCCUGUGAGAAUGCCAACUCUGCUUUGCUUAGAAGACUGUCGAUUAAUGGUGAGAAGUUGCUGAAGAGAGAAAAACCGAGGGAGUUAAUUUUUCCAUCUAAUUAUGACCUCCUGCGACACCUGCAAUAUGCAACCCACUUCCCCAUACCUCUGGAUGAAUCUUCAAGUCAUGAAUGUAACCAGCGCACAAUUCUUCUUUAUGGAGUGGGCAAAGAGCGUGAUGAAGCGAGGCAUCAGCUGAAGAAGAUUACCAAAGAUAUUUUGAAAAUCCUAAAUAAGAAGAGCACCACAGAGACGGGGGUUGGAGAUGAGGGACAAAAAGCCAGGAAGAGCAAACAGGAAGCAUUUCCAACACUGGAGACUGUGUUCACAAAACUUCAGCUCCUUUCAUAUUUUGAUCAACAUCAAGUGACGUCUCAGAUCUCUAAUAAUGUGCUGGAACAAAUUACAAGCUUUGCAUCAGGGACUUCUUAUCACCUCCCUUUGGCUCAUCAUAUUCAGCUCAUCUUUGAUCUCAUGGAGCCAGCGCUGAACAUCAAUGGACUAAUUGACUUCGCAAUACAGCUACUGAAUGAACUGAGUGUGGUGGAAGCUGAACUGCUCCUGAAAUCUUCCAGCCUGGCAGGAAGCUACACAACGGGCCUGUGCGUCUGCAUCGUGGCUGUUCUCCGGCGGUACCACAGCUGUCUGAUCCUGAACCCUGAUCAGACAGCCCAGGUGUUUGAAGGGUUGUGUGGUGUGGUAAAGCAUGUUGUGAACCCCUCAGAAUGUUCUUCCCCUGAAAGAUGCAUCUUAGCCUACCUCUACGAUCUCUAUGUGUCAUGUAGUCACCUCAGAAGUAAAUUUGGAGACCUCUUCAGUAGUGCCUGUUCAAAAGUUAAGCAAACCAUAUAUAACAACGUGAUGCCUGCAAAUUCUAACUUGCGAUGGGAUCCAGACUUCAUGAUGGAUUUUAUUGAGAAUCCUUCAGCCCGUAGCAUCAACUACUCAAUGCUGGGGAAGAUCCUAAAUGACAAUGCAGCCAAUCGGUAUAGCUUCGUCUGCAAUACUCUCAUGAAUGUAUGUAUGGGCCACCAGGAUGCCGGCAGGAUUAAUGACAUAGCCAAUUUCUCCUCUGAGCUGACAGCUUGCUGCACCGUUCUCAGUUCAGAAUGGCUGGGAGUUCUGAAGGCUCUUUGUUGUUCUUCAAAUCACGUGUGGGGGUUUAAUGAUGUACUUUGCACUGUAGAUGUGAGUGACCUUUCAUUCCAUGAUUCAUUAGCUACUUUCAUUGCUAUUCUGAUAGCACGACAGUGUUUUUCCCUGGAGGACGUCGUGCAGCACGUCGCACUUCCCUCUCUCCUAGCCGCAGCUUGUGGUGAUGCAGAUGCUGAGCCUGGGGCAAGAAUGACUUGCCGACUCCUGCUUCAUCUCUUCCGAGCUCCUCAGGCCUGCCUAUUACCUCAAGCUACCGGCAAACCUUUCCCUGGAAUCAGAUCGUCUUGUGAUAGACACCUUUUAGCUGCUGCUCACAACAGCAUUGAAGUGGGAGCCGUGUUUGCUGUCUUAAAAGCAAUUAUGAUGCUUGGAGAUGCCAAAAUUGGCAAUAACAAUGUCAGCUCUUUAAAGAACGAUGACUUCACCAUGAGGGGUUUACGACGUGAUGGGAAUGCAGAUGAUAUCUGGGCUGCCUCACAAAAUUCAAAAUCCUGUGGGAAAAGCAUUUCCAUAGAAACUGCCAAUUUAAGAGAAUACGCAAGAUACGUCCUGAGGACUAUCUGUCAGCAGGAAUGGGUAGGAGAACAUUGCUUAAAAGAACCUGAAAGAUUAUGCACAGACAAAGAACUUAUAUUGGACCCUGUGCUUUCAAAUAUGCAAGCACAGAAAUUACUGCAGCUUAUCUGUUAUCCCCAUGGCAUUAAAGAGUGUACUGAGGGGGACAACCUGCAGAGACAGCACAUUAAGCGCAUUCUUCAGAAUCUUGAGCAGUGGACAUUGAGGCAGUCCUGGCUCGAACUUCAGUUAAUGAUCAAACAGUGCUUGAAGGACCCUGGGUCUGGUUCAGUGGCUGAAAUGAAUAACUUACUGGACAAUAUUGCAAAGGCAACAAUAGAGGUAUUCCAGCAGUCUGCUGACUUGAACAAUAACUCUUCUAAUUCUGGUAUGGGCCUCUUCAACCCAAAUGGGAUUGGAAAUACUGAUACAACUAGCACGAGACAGAAUGGAAUAAAGACGUUUCUAAGUUCCUCUGAACGCAGGGGUGUGUGGCUGGUGGCUCCCCUAAUUGCCAGGCUACCAACGUCUGUGCAAGGAAGAGUGUUGAAAGCUGCUGGGGAAGAGCUAGAGAAGGGGCAGCACUUGGGCUCUUCUUCAAAAAAGGAAAGAGACAGACAAAAACAGAAAAGUAUGUCUCUUCUGAGUCAACAGCCUUUCCUCUCACUGGUCCUUACCUGCCUUAAGGGACAAGACGAACAACGGGAAGGCCUCCUAACAUCACUUCAGAAUCAAGUUAAUCAGAUUUUAAGUAACUGGAGAGAAGAACGAUACCAAGAUGACAUAAAAGCACGGCAGAUGAUGCAUGAAGCAUUGCAACUCCGCCUCAAUUUGGUGGGAGGAAUGUUCGACACGGUGCAGAGGAGCACCCAGUGGACGACAGACUGGGCCCUCCUCCUCCUGCAGAUCAUUACUUCUGGAACUGUUGACAUGCACACUAACAAUGAAUUAUUCACAACUGUUCUUGACAUGCUGGGUGUUUUAAUCAAUGGAACACUAGCUUCAGACCUAUCAAAUGCAUCCCCAGGGGGGUCUGAAGAGAAUAAACGUGCAUACAUGAAUUUAGUAAAGAAACUGAAGAAAGAGCUAGGAGACAAGCGAUCAGAAAGUAUUGACAAAGUUCGACAAUUGCUACCUUUGCCGAAACAGACAUGUGAUGUCAUCACUUGUGAACCUAUGGGUUCAUUGAUUGACACAAAGGGAAACAAAAUUGCUGGAUUUGACUCAAUAGAUAAAAAACAGGGUCUCCAGGUCUCUACCAAGCAGAAGGUGUCCCCGUGGGAUUUGUUUGAGGGUCAGAAGAACCCAGCCCCUCUGUCCUGGGCCUGGUUCGGGACUGUCCGAGUGGACCGAAAGGUGAUCAAGUACGAGGAGCAGCACCACCUGCUGCUGUAUCACACACACCCCAUGCCCAAGCCCCGCAGCUACUACCUUGAGCCACUGCCCCUGCCUCCCGAGGAGGAGGAAGAAGAGCCCACAUCUCCCAUCUCUCAGGAACCCGAGAGGAAAUCAGCUGAGCUGUCAGAUCAGGGGAAAACCGCAACAGAUGAAGAGAAGAAAACAAAGGGAAGGAAGCGCAAGACGAAAUCAAGCUCAAGAAUUGAUGAGUAUCCGCAGAGCAACAUAUACCGAGUGCCUCCUAAUUACUCACCCGUUUCCUCCCAGAUGAUGCACCCUGCACAGCCCACCCUGUGGGGCUACAACCUCAUGGGUCAGCCCCAGCAGCCUGGCUUUUUCCUUCAGAACCAAUCUCUUACUCCAGGUGGCUCCAGACUGGACCCCGCGGGCUCCUUUGUCCCCACCAACACCAAACAAGCUCUGUCCAACAUGCUGCAGCGGCGCUCGGGUGCUGUGAUGCAGCCGCCCCUUCACGCCAUCACUUCACAGCAGCAGUUGGUGCAGAUGAAGCUCGUGCAGCAGCAGCGGCUUCUCAGGCAAGCCCAGACGCGCCCGUUCCAACAGAGCCAGCCAGGGGACCAGGCUGCUCUCUUCGCUGCACAAGCCCGGCCGUCCCCUCAGCUUCCCCAGUAUCCAGGGCUACAGCAGGCACAGGCUAUGCCCCAGGGUUAUACGAUGUAUGGAACACAGAUGCCAUUGCAGCAAAGCCCGCAGCAGCAGGCUGGCAGUGUGGUCCUGUCUCCCAGCUAUAACUCCAGAACCUAUCCGGCUGCACAUUCCAACCCAGUGCUGAUGGAAAGACUCAGACAGAUGCAGCAACUGCCAAGCGGCUAUGUUCAGCAGCAGACGUCACCGUACCUGCAGCCUUUGACUGGCUCUCAGAGACUGAAUCAUCAGGCCCUUCAGCAGAGUCCUCUGGUGGGGGCAGGAAUUGAAGCAGUGCUGACUUCUGCACAUCCAAACCUUCCUCCUGUGCCGCUGCCCCAGGACCCAAUGAGGCCCAGACAGCCGCCGGUUCGACAGCAGCAGAGGCUCCUCCAGAUGCAGCAGCCCCAGCAGUCCUCACAGCCCCAGAGUCAGACCCUUGGCCUCCAGGCGAUGCAGCCCCAGCAGCCUUUGGUCCCCCGACCAGGCCUGCAGCAGACCCAGCAACAGCAGCAGACGGCCGCGCUGGUGCGGCAACUCCAGAAGCAGCUGUCCAGUAACCAGCCACAGCAAGGAGUGACUCCCUAUGGGCAUCCAUCACACUUCUGAACCUGGAAGAGGACAAGACAUGCAGUUUUGUGUUUGCACUGAGAAAUAGGAACUCAAAUUCAAUGCAUUAGUCAACUUUAGAAAUGUCCCUUUAUUCUUUAAUUUCUUUGAAGUUUCUCUACGUUUUAUGCUAGAUUUCCUAAAAAGAUGUUUUUAAAAAAAACAGGAGGAGGUGUGGUUUGGUGUUUUGGUUGUUGCAUUCAACUUCAAAAUAGGUUUAAAAGUAUGGAUCAGGCAGGCCUACUCCAGGAAGAGUUUAGUAGCAGACCUUUUGAAAAUUGGUGCUUUUUUUUUGGAAUCUCACUGUUACAGAAAAAAUGAAUUAUGAUAGAUUUAAAAUAUUUAUGUAUUCAUUCAUGAUGAAGUGUGUGGGUGUUUUUCUUUUUCUCUUUUUUUUUUUUGGCAAACUGUGCCGGACCAAACUACUGAUUCAAAAGGCAUGUCAGAUCUUGACAGGAAAGUGACCCCUUUAUUCUGCAUUCACCUUUGAUGGUAACAUGGACAUUUAUUUGCAUUGCUCUAAUUUGAAAUAUCUGUAAUUUCAUAAGCACUUUAUAAACUUUGUUCUUAUUUAUGUAGGAUUUUUCUUUGCUUUUGUUGUGGUCAAAAGGUGCUGAAACAGAUUGUUGCUAAUAAGGACUUUAACUUCUUAGACCAAGAACUUCCGCCAAGGCUUCUAGGGGAGUCACACUAAGAUACAUGGAAGCCUCCUAGGAGUAGCUGUACUCAGAUUUGUUUUCAGUGGCAAGAUCAUUCACCAGAGUCUUUGUGAAGGUACAACAUGUAAAUUCUAAAGGCUCAAAUGAACCACAGUGGAAUUGUUCCAAUUAUUCAUUGCCAGAUUUGGCAAAAAUGACUGUCCAGUUUUGUUCUCCUGAACCCUAUGCCAACUUGAGAAAAAAAAUCUCACAGCUGGCCUGAGAUUCCACAGUGCUCAAAUUUGACAUGGUUUCCAGAGAAUCUGGCCCCUUAAGUCCAGAAGGUUCUGGUUUUCAUAAAAGAUGUAUUUGCUGUUUAUUUUGUAUGGUAAGUAUUUGCUAUUUUGAAUUUAAUUAUUAACGGUGUCAGUCUCAGUUGUGUAUUGCAUAUACUGUAUUUAUAAAUUGGUGCAAAAAGCACAAGUAAAGUAAAUUAUACAUCAAAUUUAUUAUAAAGAAAUAGUAACUAUUUUAACUUUGUUCGGUAUGUGGCAAUUUGCUCCUAUUAGAGUAAAAAACAGUAAAUUAUUAUCAGUUUGUGUAACUUAAGAGUAUUCCAUAUAAUAUUUUUUUAGAUUUAGAUGUAUAAAAUUUUGAAUGUGAAAUUUGCAGGGCAUUUUAAAACAUGUGGGGGAUAUUUUCCCAUGUUCUGUGUUAAUUCAUUUUUUCUUCUGCCAUAUGAUUUUACAUGUAAUAUAGUCAAGCAUACUGUGAAUAGAUUUGUUUGUAAUGAGCAAACCAUGUAGAACUACUUUUUAAAAAAAUGUAGCUGGUAUGACUUUAGAUUUCUUUUGCAAGUCAUUAUAUAAAUAAUUUAUAUCUUCCUAGGUGAGUUACUCAUUGCAAAGUUUGACUCAAUGCAAACGACCUCAAAUCCAUGUCUGCUUACUUUCCUGUGGCAGCAUCCAUGUGAACUGCUUUGUACACUGUGAAACUCUUUCAUUCCAGCCUGCUCAUUUCGUGUUUACUCAGGGCUGGAAAAGACUUUGCCAAAACAUUAAAGACCAUUUCUUUUCACUAAAUUAACAAAUUCUAUCUGCUUUCAGAAGACGAAUCUUUACAUUUCAGCUGAUUUUGUAUAUCAGGGUUUUUUGGUUUUUUUUCCUUUCAAGAACCAUACCUAGAGUUCAUGAAGUUAUUUUUCUUCAAAAUAAUAUAUCCAUGUAAUGACUGCCUUGGCAAAAUGACCGAAAUGUGAAUGUUGUGCCUAGUGAGUAAGUCAUGUUCUGUCCUGAUUGUUGUUUUCUUUCCUUUCAAGAAUUAAUGGUAUUUAAAAUGCCAGUUUUUAGUUUGAACCAUAUAUUUUUAUAAUUCAAUAUUGCAAAUAGCAGUAAUACUGUUUCAAGAAUGAGUGUUAUAAUUGCAUAGCAUUUGUAUGCACUUUAUAUUUUGCAGAAGUUAGUGGAAUUAAUUUAUUAAUCACUUUGCACAUGAAAGCUGUGAGUAUACCUUUUUUGUUGUUUUCUCUUUUUUUUUUAGGUGAGGAAGCUAAGUCAUGGUAAGGCCCUAUAAUAUAAAGAGUCUAUUGAAAGUUGAGGGAAAACCUGGGACUGGUUUUCCCCUUCGCAUUAUAGAGCAAUUGGAAAUUUUCAUCUAGUCUUAACCUCCCACUCAGUCCUAUAUCCUGAGAGGUCUCAUUUUUCUUUUCUAGCUGAUGCAUUAAUUUGCAUUAAAAUGAUCACAAGGGAAAGCCCUAGCCUUUGGCAGAACCUGGCAAUUUACUUGGCGAGAUACAGAGGAAAUUAAGAUCAGAUGGAGACCCCCUUUCCCCAUAAGACUCUGGACUCAGAUGCAGUUGGACUAAGAAACCCUUAGGGGAUACCUCUUUACCCUGCAAGCUCCUUUCUAGUAGGGCUGCAUUUGUCAUUUGAUUUACUCCUCUUGGCCCGGAAGUAGGGCAUCACUGUGAGAAUGAGUGUCCUUUGGCCUCUUGUGGCCACAGGGCACCAACAUCAGCGACAGCAGCAACUCGGUCAUCUCUUAAAGUGGUGCCUGCUGAAAGUUGGUGCGCUGAAAACACCAUGAAGUGAGCUCCCUCAGUCUCAAGUGAUCGGCAGGGGCCAAUAUGGCUCUCAGUUUUAUGUGCUGAUAUCUGAGCAAGACCCUAGGGCAUUUUCUUUUUCUUUCUCACUUACUAAGGCUCCUAUAUAAUCCUUAUAUAACAGGUAAAUAAUUGAAAAGAUGUUGGAGAAAUUUCUCUGGGAAAUCCCAGCCUCUAGAAUUAGAAAGAAUGAAUCGUGUAUCCCCCAAAUUGAUGCAGCUUGAAUUAAGCAUGCAAUAUAAAUACACAAAAAAAGCAUUUUGUGUAGGGCUGAUCAAAUUUUAAGUACAAUGAAACUUUAUUAUGUGCAUUAUCUGGAUUUUCCCAAACAUUUUCCAGUCCCCUAAAGGAUUACCACUUAAUGAAAUAAAAUGUUCAUAAAGCAAUGGUUCCUCCUUGGAAAAUUUUUCUUAUAAACAGCUCCAAACCAGGCUUAACCAAGCUAGAUUUUGAAGUUUUAAAGAAGUUUCAUUGUAUUUUUAAACCUUUUUAAUGGGUUUAUUUGGACAAAGGUAUAAUCAACUCCCUUUUCACAUUUUAGUAUGUGCAGUUGUUAAUUUUUUUUUACAUAUGGAAAAGUUAGCCUGCAUUUAUUUUUAAAUGCAGUUACUAAGACAUUUUUGUAUUCCCCAUCAAUGACAAUGCUCAGUAUGCACAAAAUGUGACUCAUAAUCAAAACAGUUCAGUUCUUACUUUCUCUAGGGUUUAAUAAAAUACUUAAAAACCAACCACACAAAUAUUUAUACAUCAAAAUGAUAAAUUUACAUCGAGACUGCAAAUUUAAUACUUUCCAUUGUCUCUGUUCUUAGUGACAUGCUUGUAACUUUGAUAGAAGGUGGACACUAGGCAACUGGUAGUGAAAGAAAAAAGUCCAUUCUUUAAUGAAGAAUUCAGGUACAUUGACCAUUUCUUAUUUUACGGUGGAAAGUUCUUUUUAAUGUACAUUGUUAUCUCUUGGCAAAAUAAAAGUGCCUUAAGUUAAAAGUUUGUUUUGAGAACCAUUAAAGAAAUCAGUAUCAGUUCAUAAUGCAUUAUUCACAAAUCUUUUUUUUUUUGCAUGUCCAUUAUAAAUUUAAUAUUGUAAAUGUACUCAUUCAUUUACAUGCCUAUGGCUGCCUUUGAUUAAACUUCCAAAAAAUAAA